rnacentral:rRNA from 1 species
UACGGAGGGUGCGAGCGUUGUCCGGAAUCACUGGGCGUAAAGGGCGCGUAGGCGGCCUGAUAAGUAGGGGGUGAAAUCCUGCGGCUUAACCGCAGGGCUGCCUUCUAAACUGUCAGGCUCGAGCACAGUAGAGGCAGGUGGAAUUCCCGGUGUAGCGGUGGAAUGCGUAGAGAUCGGGAAGAACACCUGAGGCGAAGGCGGGUUGCUGGGCUGAUACUGACGCUGAGGCGCGAAAGCCAGGGGAGCAAACGGG